ACCCCAAUUGCAGCCACCACCGCCGUUCGCAACCACCACGACCACUCGCAACAACCACCAACAUAUGGAGGAACAACAGAAUAUAAAAAAGUCGUCAUACAACUUCUAUGUUGAACAUCUGAUCAUCAUUUAACCAAUAAAAGUCAAGCCCCCAUAGAUUUUUGCUUGUUUGAUAUUGUGAACCCAGAUGAAAGGCUUACUGAGGGCAUACUUGUGGCGCAUGAAGUUCUACAUAGAUCAUGUAGUGUUGAGCCUGAUGCAUAGAGUUGGUGUGUCAUAGCAUAUAUUAUUUUAUGUGGGACUAGGCCUUUUGGGCCCGAACUAAAUCUUGGAUUUUUCGGGCUGUUUGGAUGCUCAAGCUUUGAUGAAGUUGUUUUAAAUUGCACAUUUGA
rnacentral:lncRNA from 1 species